rnacentral:tRNA from 1 species
AUGAUUAUGGCGAAAUGGUAAACGCGUUUAAUUUAGGUUUAAAUUCUUAUGGGUUCAAGUCCCAUUAAUCAUA